rnacentral:rRNA from 1 species
UGGGGAAUCUUGCACAAUGGGCGAAAGCCUGAUGCAGCGACGCCGCGUGAGGGAUGACGGCCUUCGGGUUGUAAACCUCUUUCAGUAGGGAAGAAGCCUUCGGGUGACGGUACCUGCAGAAGAAGCGCCGGCUAACUACGUGCCAGCAGCCGCGGUAAUACGUAGGGCGCAAGCGUUGUCCGGAAUUAUUGGGCGUAAAGAGCUCGUAGGCGGUUUGUCGCGUCUGGUGUGAAAACUCAAGGCUCAACCUUGAGCUUGCAUCGGGUACGGGCAGACUAGAGUGUGGUAGGGGAGACUGGAAUUCCUGGUGUAGCGGUGGAAUGCGCAGAUAUCAGGAGGAACACCGAUGGCGAAGGCAGGUCUCUGGGCCACUACUGACGCUGAGGAGCGAAAGCAUGGGUAGCGAACAGG